GCCGGGCGUGGGGGUGCAUGCCUGUAAUCCCAGCUACUCGGGAGGCUGAGGCAGGAGAAUCGCUUGAACCCGGGAGGCGGAGGUUGCGGUGAGCCGAGAUCGCGCCACUGCACUCCAGCCUGGGCGACAGAGCGAGACUCUGUCUCAA
rnacentral:sRNA from 1 species